ACGCGAAGAGUUCUUCGGAACUUGAGUAGAGUGGCGCACGGGUGAGUAACGCGUAAGUGAUCUACCCCUGUAUCUGGAAUAACUAUGGGAAACUGUAGCUAAUACCGGAUACGUUCAUGUGAUUGCGAUCAUGUGAAGAAAGAUGGCCUCUGACAUAAGCUAUCGUACAGGGAGGAGCUUGCGUACCAUUAGCUAGUUGGCAGGGUAAAGGCCUACCAAGGCGACGAUGGUUAGCGGGUCUGAGAGGAUGAUCCGCCACACUGGAACUGAAACACGGACCAGACUCCUACGGGAGGCAGCAGUGAGGAAUAUUGCGCAAUGGGGGCAACCCUGACGCAGCGACGCCGCGUGGAUGAUGAAGGCCUUCGGGUCGUAAAAUCCUGUCGGAUGGAAAGAAGUGUGAUGUGGUUAAUACCCAUGUCAUUUGACGGUACCAUCAGAGGAAGCACCGGCUAACUCCGUGCCAGCAGCCGCGGUAAUACGGAGGGUGCAAGCAUUGUUCGGAAUUACUGGGCGUAAAGCGCGCGUAGGCGGUUUGUUAAGUCAGAUGUGAAAGCCCCCGGGCUUAACCUGGGACGUGCAUUUGAAACUGUCAGACUUGAGUAUUGGAGGGGGUGGUGGAAUUCCCGGUGUAGAGGUGAAAUUCGUAGAUAUCGGGAGGAAUACCGGUGGCGAAAGCGACCACCUGACCAAAUACUGACGCUGAGGUGCGAAAGGCGUGGGGAGCAACAGAUUAGAUACCCUGGUAGUCCACGCGGUAACGAUGAGAACUAGUGUUGGGACCGUUGAUCGUCUCAU
rnacentral:rRNA from 1 species